UACAGAGGGUGCGAGCGUUAAUCGGAAUUACUGGGCGUAAAGCGUGCGUAGACGGUUAUUUAAGUCGGAUGUGAAAGCCCCGGGCUCAACCUGGGAAUUGCAUUCGAGACUGAAUAGCUAGGGUACGGUAGAGGGAAGUGGAAUUUCCGGUGUAGCGGUGAAAUGCGUAGAUAUCAGGAGGAACACCAGCGGCGAAGGCGGCGCUCUGGGCCGGAACUGACGCUGAGGAGUGAAAGCGUGGGGAGCAAACAGG
rnacentral:rRNA from 1 species